rnacentral:rRNA from 1 species
CACGGACCAAGGAGUCUAACAUAUUUGCGAGUGUUCUGGUGAAAAACCAACAACGCGAAAUGAAAGUAAACUUGAAUAAGAACAGCCUGGUAAGAAGGGUUGUGCAUUAUUGACCGAUCUGGAUUUUUUUGAAAGAUUUGAGUAAGAGCAAAUAUGCUGGGACCCGAAAGAUGGUGAGCUUUGCCUGCGGAGGGCGAAGCCAGAGGAAACUCUGGUGGAGGCUCGUA